rnacentral:rRNA from 1 species
GACGAACGCUGGCGGCGUGCCUAAUACAUGCAAGUAGGACGCAGUUGCGAACGGGUGAGUAACGCGUUGCUAACUACCUAUUAGAGGUGGAUAACUCUUGGAAACGUUAGCUAAUACCUCAUAAUAGUAGCUGGACCUGCGUUGUAUUAGCUAGUAGGUUGGGUAAUGGCCUACCUAGGCAACGAUACAUAGCCGAACUGGGAGGGUGAGCGGCCACACUUGGACUUGGACACGGCCCAGACUCCUACGGGAGGCAGCAGUAGGGAAUCUUCGGCAAUGGGGGGAACCCUGACCGGGCAACGCCGCGUUAGUGAAGAAGGUUUUCGGAUCGUAAAGCUCUGUUGUUAAGGAAGCGGUACUUAACCAGAAAGGGACGGCUAACUACGUGCCAGCCGCCGCGGUAAUAC